rnacentral:rRNA from 1 species
AACGAACGCUGGCGGCAUGCCUAACACAUGCAAGUCGAACGAGACCUUCGGGUCUAGUGGCGCACGGGUGCGUAACGCGUGGGAACCUGCCCUUAGGUUCGGAAUAACUCCCCGAAAGGGGUGCUAAUACCGGAUAAUGUCUUCGGACCAAAGAUUUAUCGCCUUUGGAUGGGCCCGCGUUGGAUUAGCUAGUUGGUAGGGUAAAAGCCUACCAAGGCGACGAUCCAUAGCUGGUCGGAGAGGAUGAUCAGCCACACUGGGACUGAGACACGGCCCAGACUCCUACGGGAGGCAGCAGUGGGGAAUAUUGGACAAUGGGCGAAAGUCUGAUCCAGCAAUGCCGCGUGAGUGAUGAAGGCCUUAGGGUUGUAAAGCUCUUUUACCCGGGAUGAUAAUGACAGUACCGGGAGAAUAAGCUCCGGCUAACUACGUG